rnacentral:rRNA from 1 species
AGAGUUUGAUCCUGGCUCAGAUUGAACGCUGGCGGCAUGCCUUACACAUGCAAGUCGAACGGUAACGCGGGGCAACCUGGCGACGAGUGGCGAACGGGUGAGUAACGCAUCGGAACGUGCCCAGUAGUGGGGGAUAGCCCGGCGAAAGCCGGAUUAAUACCGCAUACGACCUACGGGUGAAAGCGGGGGACCGUAAGGCCUCGCGCUAUUGGAGCGGCCGAUGUCAGAUUAGGUAGUUGGUGGGGUAAAAGCCUACCAAGCCGACGAUCUGUAGCUGGUCUGAGAGGACGACCAGCCACACUGGGACUGAGACACGGCCCAGACUCCUACGGGAGGCAGCAGUGGGGAAUUUUGGACAAUGGGCGCAAGCCUGAUCCAGCCAUGCCGCGUGCGGGAUGAAGGCCUUCGGGUUGUAAACCGCUUUUGUCAGGGAAGAAACGCUCCGGGCCAAUACCCUGGGGUAAUGACGGUACCUGAAGAAUAAGCACCGGCUAACUACGUGCCAGCAGCCGCGGUAAUACGUANGGUGCAAGCGUUAAUCGGAAUUAC